rnacentral:lncRNA from 1 species
GGUCUCUUUGUAAGAUAUUGUGGCAAUUCACACAGGAGCCACCAGGGGUCUCUGUUUCCGUUACAAAUCUCAACUCUGUCUGGGCCAGAGAACCUAGCCUUUGACUCUCUCCACCGUGUGAAAUUUAGCAGGAUGGGACUCAAUCCUGUAAACUGUUUGGGGUUGGGGGCUUUCUCUCUGUCUUCUUUCUAUUGGUGUGAAUUGAUCAUUGGUGUUUGCUUUUGCUCUCCUCCAUUCUCUGGAACUACAACCCAAUCUUCUUACAGAACUUCUAAAGUUUUUCUGAAUGUACAGACAUUUCUCGGGUUCCUAUCUUUGUCUCUGAUGUACCGUUUUCCAUUUAAGACAUUUUCCUGUGUAAGACAGUUUUAUAGUUGGUUGCUUUUAGGGUAAAGAGGCUUAAGACAGUUUUAUUGUGUUUUUGGCAGGUUUGGAAAAGGUAAGAAAUGGGUCCUUCCUCCCACUUUUUUGGGUACUUAAGACAUAAAAUUCAUAAUCCUCUUAAAAAUUAAAUUCAGCUUUGCUAAUCCUAAAAUUGUUCCCAAAUGAAAAUGUAUUCUAGGUUUAUCCCCUAGUUGGGUUAUUCCACAAGGCCUCUCUUCAGGGACCAGUGGGGGCUUAGGGAGCCCUAGUUAGAUUAAAGAGAGACAUUGCUCCUUAAAACUGGUCUUCAGGGGCUUCCCUGGUGGCGCAGUGGUUGGGAGUCUGCCUGCCGAUACAGGGAACAUGGGUUCGUGCCCCGGUCCGGGGGUUCCCACAUGCCGCGGAGUGGCUGGGCCCGUGAGCCAUGGCCGCUGAGCCUGCGCGUCCGGAGCCUGUGCUCCACAACGGGAGAGGCCACAACAGUGAGAGGACCGCGUACCGCAAAAAAAAAACAAAACUGGUCUUCAUUUAUCCAGACAAGCACAACUAAGAGAACUCUUCGCCCCUCGGGCUUUAAAGUCUUUCCAAGGCCCGAAUCUAAGAAAAUCAAAAAUUGGAUGCUGAAUAUUUUGGCCUUCCUUCGGCUAUUUUUCUGGUUCACCUCCAAAAAGCAAAAAUAAUACCCUUGUCUGCUUUAAUUUGCUUUCCAAAUCUGGUGCCCAUGGUCCCAGCUCCCCUAACAUCAUGCUAUCCCAGGAGGACCAGGGCUGGGGACAGUCAAACCCCAGGCUCAUGGGUCUCAGACAACUACUUGAGUUAAAGUUGAAACUCAUUCCUCUUCUCUGUUUUCUGGUUUUAAAGCUGUGCUUUUUGCCUUAUUUUCCACCGUUUAGGAGAGAUAGCGGGUUGCCAUUCAGAUAGGAAAAUCUGAAUUUUCUUAUCUUUGGCCCAGAAAAUGCUCUUCAGACCAACAUUUUGAAGUUGGUAGUUGGCUCUAUGGAAAGCAGUAGGAUUUUCCUCCUUUUGUGUGAAGGAAAAGAGAAGCUUUGUAGGAAGUUGCUAGUUAGAAAAGUAGCCUGCAACACCAGGAAAACCAUCCCAAGAGCCAGGAGGGAGAGAUGAAGAACUCCUUCAGUGCGUGUGUCAACCUGCGAGAGGCAACCCACAGUCCUCCGCAUUCUUGGCUUUUGUUGAUCUGUUUAGUGGCCUGUCCUUGUCUGUCACUGGACUUACACAGGUCCUGAGCCAAUAGGGGCCUUUCAUACCCACGGAUCUGUUUCCUUGCUGGAAAUGAAACCCUACCCUUCACUUGACAUUCCUUUUGAUCCAACUGGUCAAAAUUGGUGCCCAUACCUGCCCUUUUCCUCCUUUUCCGGCACAUCCUUCUCUAAGAAAGGAAAGGCAAAGCUCCUUAAUGACAACACCUUUGGCCUGUUCUGUUGCUCCUGCCUUGUUUCUCUUUCAGCCCUGUACAUGACUUGCAUUCACCAUCCCCUCGGUCAGUGUCCAUCUGCUGAUUUGCAUCAUGAACUGGACAGUGUGUGAGAGGUCACCUGCUACCCCCGCUCUGGGAGCCGAGUUGUCUUCCCCUCUCUGGUGCUCCUGACACCUGUGAGAUGGUCCUGUCCAGAGGACUAGGAACCUUAGGAGGAGAGUCCUUCUCGGCAGAGCUCAUUGCAAUCAUCUGGAAUCUAGGUUGCACACUGUGAUUUUUACACCGAAAAGCCAAACGGAGCUGGCCACCCAGGGCCUAGGGAGACCAGUCUUCCUCGGAUAUGCUUCCUAAACCAGCAUGAUGCUUCGAAGAACCCCAGUCUGCCCCUGGAGGCAUGGAUCCUUUUCCCGGUGUGGACUCUGAUGGUCAGUCUUUGGGAAGCAGAGGUGGGGCGGGGCUACCAGCAUCCCAAUUUGGAAAAGAGAGGAGUUUGCAGCCAGCAGCCUGUAAACUGGAAACACUGGUCUCAGCCAACCUCCUCAGGGUGCCCUGGUUUCUCCCCAAAGAGAUGAGAGAUGAUGCCAGCAACAGGAUGAACAGACCACUGGAAGGACUGGUGUAUAUGUACUUCACGUUCAGAAGAGAAGUUAGAUCUUCCAGGGAAUUGCAAUUUUGUGGCGUCUGACUUGUAUGUCACGUUUGUGUAAAAUGGUAUAUUCUUUAAAAUAGUGUUGAUAACUGGAAUAUUGUAUGUAUGCUUGGAGAUGCUUUGUGUGAACCUAAGACUGUCACUCAACAGAUGUUGGAUUGGGGAAAAUCCAAAGCACAACUUCGAAAUAAAAUACGUUUUUAGGUU